GCGUUUAGCUCAGCUGGUUUAGAGCAUCUGCCUUACAAGCAGAGGGUCGGCGGUUCGAAUCCGUCAACGC
rnacentral:tRNA from 1 species